CCAAACUCAAUGACACAGCAGAGAGCCCAGGGAACCGGACAGACACUCUCUAAACAGGCCAGCAGACAAAGUGUUCAGUCAAGCCUCCUAAUUGCUGGCUCAUAUGGACCAAAAUAUCCUUGGAGGACCUUUAAGUGUCUUUGCGGCCACUAGGCUGGCUAACUACCAUGCAGCAGCAGUGCCCUUGGGAGGGAUUGCCGGGCGACUUUGCAGCUUCAUGUAAGACAAAGACAAGAAGCGCCGUGUCACCUCCAGCUGGUUCCGACCUUAGUGACAGCGUGCAGCAAGGUGACAAGGACACACACUUUUGGCAAUGGGAAGUGACCACAUGACAUUCCUUCCAGGAUUCAAAUCUAAUAUUUAACGUGGGAUUAUCGGCUUUAAGAUUACAGGUGCCGACCAACUGCUCAUUUGACAGUUUCCGCCAAAUAUACCGUCCUUCUCGAUAUAUAAAUGGUUUGACCAAAAUGACCCGAAUUCAAUAUGUAACUACUUGGAGCAAAGGGCACGUGUACUUCUGAGUUGAAACACGGGAACACAAGAAGUAAGUUAAUAAGUAUGUUUAUGUGAAUGAAAAACAGAAAGUCCCAAUUGGAAGAGAGACUGGUCACAAGGCCAUGUUUAAAAAACAAAACAAAACAAAACCAAUUUGUAUCCAUCCUAUUGGCAAGAGGAAAUACCCCCCACUAUUUGUUUAUUCUCCCAAAAAAUAUUUUUUUAAAUUGUAUCUUUUCAUUGUAACAACAUUAACGGAAAUUAAUACCUUGUGUUCGGGACAGGUCUAAAUUCAUCUUAAAUAAAUGAAUGGUAAAUUUGAUUACUUGUUACCUUUAAUGGGAUGGGAAAAUAUCUCUUUGAAUAUAUUCGUGCUUCUAUGCCAGUGUUGCAAAAUAACAUGAACGAUAUGGAGCUCUUACAGUACACACAGCCUACAAUACAAAUUGCAGGUUACCAACUAUGACUGGGUUAGGCCUAAUGCAUUUUAUUGUAGUGCUACUAUGACUACUACAGUCAUGCCAUGCUGUUAAAAAAAAAAAAUCAUUCCACUUCAGCGAGAAAACAGAAUGCAUCUAACAUGUAAUAUCUACAACUGGCUGUACUCAAAGGAAGGCUACAAUAAAUGAAAACUACAGCAUCUAUUAAGACUCCCGAAGUAGCCUUGAGGAAGACAGACAGGCCACAAAAGCAAAAAGUAAAAUGGCUUAGCCAGGUCACUAUUUGCAACACUCAGAAAUAGCUCUUCACAUCUUGAACAUAGAGGCUUGGCAUUUGAGAAGUGUCUCGACCACGUAACGGUCAACUGGUGAAAAUGUGUCAAAUCAUGUACACUGCAAGAAGAAAGCAAUUCUUCUUCAAAAGAGUUAUAACUGAGUGUUCCCGUAAUGCUCUGACUAACACCCUGCUUCAGAACACCCAACCUGUGCUCUAGCUAUGCAACAAAGUGACGGCAAUAUGAUUUUUUUUUAGUAGUUUAGCUUUUAAGACUAAUCUACAACCAAUAGUCACCUCACAUGGCCCAGCGCGUGUUCACCAGUGUAACAGACUGAAAAACAAAAACAAUUUUUUUAAACAGAACCUCAAACUAACUAGCAUAUAAAAUACCUGGUGUGGUGCACCCAAAAAAAAAAAAUUCCAUCCAGUAAUAUAAAGCGAGGGGAGUAAAUAAAGAAAAAAACACACAGAAAGAAAGGAGAAAGCAUUCAUUUGGAAAAUAGAGUCGGCUCAUGAGAAAGUGGGCCUGUCCGGUCUAGCGGUGCAGCGGGGUCGUCCCAGCAGGCAGCCCCUCUGAUUUCAUUAAUUAACAGGACAAAGAGUACAAAACAGAUGGGCCCGUAGAGGAACUAGGGCUCCCGUGCUACCCCCACAGGCCCACAUACUGUAUGUACAUACAUCCACAAGCAACCUGAUCAUGUAGCAUCAACAACAGCGCUAACGUACACGAACGUACAUACCCGUGCUUUAACUCGCUCGCUACUACACCUGCCACAAGUAUCAUGUAAGCAACUUGUUAAGACCUGACUGUUGUAUUAUCACGUUCAAUCAAAACUGCAAAGAGCUAAAGGGGUGCCGCAGGGUUCUGUAUCGGGUCCCCUCUUAUUGUUCUUUAUGUCAGUGAUUUGUCCAAAGCAAAAUUGCAUUUCUGUGAUGACGACAUUGUUUUUUAGUCCUAUGGAUCAACUGUUUUUCAGGCCGUCAAAUCGCAGCAGAAAGCUUUGGUAACGGUCCAGCAAUCAUUAAUUCACUUGGAAGUAUACUCUCGACAAGGAAGGCCUGCUCUGACCACUCCAAGGGUGAGUCACUGUUUACAGGACAAUAUUAGGACUGCUAUUUUCAUAUGUUUGAGUCUUAAUUACGAUCGAAAAUACUGACUCGGAAAUUGAAAUUGUCUUUGGUCACAAGAUUAUUUAUUACUUUCGUUCCCCUAUGCUCGUACGGCAUUGGGUAAACAGGCUUUUUUUUUUACUCUGCUCCUUAUGCAUGAACUAUGCCACAAACAGGCUGGAAGCUAACUUGUUAAAUUGCUUUAGGUACUUUAAAUCCAAAUGGAGAGUUUUUGACACAAAUUACACAAUAUGCAAUUUUUCACAAUGUGUUUGUAAAAUUCUAUGUUUGGUGUGUAAAUGUAUUUCAAGUUUUAUGUUAGUUGCUGCGUCUUGGCUAGGACACCCUUGAAAUAUAAUUCUUUAUUUUAAACUUCCUGGUUAAAUACAGUUAAAACGAAAAAAUAAUGAGACAAAAGUAUAAUGAGAAACUUUGUUUGGACCCAGCAGCGUCAGUCUGUACGGCUCGACAAUGGCACAAGUAAUUGUUUAACAAAGCUUACUAAUGAGGACCCCCUACCCAAAUCUAGCAAACCCUAUGCCCUUGUAAGCCAAUGAGGUCUUUGCUUUGCCAGGCCGGGCUAUCGUGUGAACGGUGGCGUGCACAUGUAGUGCCUGGAUCCACCUUCAGAGCCCCGUCCAGGCUUUAUCCGCACAUCUGAGGCCACGCAUGGACCUCGGAAGUCCAAUCCAGUUUGUUUCCUUCAAUCCGAUUAGUUGCUUUUCAGAUCUAUACUAAUUACAGCAAUCCUCCAACCCUCCUCUUCUCUUCCACCUUCUCCAUCCUCCUUGUUCAAGUCUUGACCACGUCAGCAUUAACCGCUAAUCUCCAGUCCAGCUCGGGCCAACAGCCAGCCGCUGCUAACCAGGUGUUAGACUAGUAGAGAAGUGCACGGCAGCUGGUGGGAGCAUAUGCACUUUCGGCGCGGCUGCGGAUGAAAGCAUUUGUGUCGAACGGCCAAUAGCAAAAAAAAUAAAUAAAAAAAAAUCAACAACACCGCACCUUAGUUGUUUUUUACUCCAAUAAGCAUAAAUGACCCUUUUUUAUCAUCCUAACAUAUUGCAUCGGACGACUAAUAGCAAUAACUCAGUGGAAUUCAAAAUAAUUUUGACUAAA